UAGGUAUACAAUAUAUAAAAGGUGAAAGAAAGAGUAAUUAUAACGUGAAAAAAUCAAAACCCUAACCCUAACCCUAACCUCAAACCACUUCAAUCACUCUUUCAAUCACCAUUCAGUCUCCAUUUUUCCCGGAAUACAGUGUACUCGUAACCUAAGUUUAACUAAAGAUUUUUGCAAAUAUCUCGGAAACUAAGGCCUAGCGGCGGUAACAUGUAUAGGGAAAAGUUGUUCAGAAUGAUGACCUUGACAACAUAUUUCAAGGUCACGAAAAUCGGUAAACAACCAGUUCGUCCAACACUUUACGUGACAAUUCGCAAAAUGUGAAUGGAAAGGUAUAUGGCAAGAAGUGAGAUUGAUGAUACUCCGCGAGGUCAAGUCGAACCUUCUCCAAAGAGAUGGCAUUAAGUCGACUGUUUUGCCCUUGGCAUUUAUAUUCAUCGAUGAGGUAUACUUAUCACAUAGAAUAAUCAAAUAGCCAAAAAUAAUGAAAUAUGAAAAAUAGAUGAAGGUUACCGGAGGAUGAAUUUAUACAUCGACAAUAUUUUAAGCAAUUGUGAGAAUAUUUAAGAGAAUUGUGUAAAUGAGAACGUUUGGAGACUUUCGGUUUCAUCUGACGCCUCAGUACGACGCUUUCAGCACGAGAUCUAUCAGUAUCCUUUUAAUCUGUGCGGACAGAUUUAUUCCCGGUGAUUCCUUGACCGCGUCUCAAGGCAACCAGGAUUUCUCAAGUAUAUCCAGGUGCUUGUUGCGCGUUGAUUUUGACGCGUUUAAAAGACUGAAAAUCACCGACGAGAGAAAAUGUUGAGGAAAAGGACUUUGUCAAUCGGCCAGGUAAAGGCAUGCCUGAAACGAGACAGUUCCGUUCCAUUCAAUUCCUCUCCUGUUUCUUUUCAAUCGAUGUCUUAUCUCUUUUUUACGAGGGAAUACUUUGCUGCAUGAUUCUGAAACGAGUGGAUACCUGCGAUCGAAGAAAUUAAAUUUUUUUUUUGUUUUGAUUCUUUGGUGUUCAGAUGUAUUUAUUGGGGGAUAUUUUAUUAGUGUUAUAUGGAAAUAUAAAAAAUGUUGGGUGUUUUUGGUACCUCACCUACCUCUCAUAAUUACAGACGGAUCUCAGAAAUUUCAAAGAACUUCGAUAAUAUUUAGUAAUUGGAAAAUGACUAACAU